GGUUACUUCCUGUCAUGCAGCUGAGAGCUGUGGCAGUCGUAGUGUUUGCAGAGGAGAUAUGAUGGGAUGUAAAGCAUGAGGUCAGGACUCUGAAGCUGACUCAAAGAACAAACACUUAUUUUAAACUGGAUCUCAAACUGUUGGAUUGUGUUCGUCUCUACAGGAUCAAUGAUGAGCCGUUCAGAGCCACGAUCCAGAAGACCUGUGACAGGAAGUGAAGACACACAGAAAGUUUCUUCAUCACGGGGCGAGUUUGAGACGUGAAGAGGAGCGUGGAGGCAUUUUGGAAAAUAAAGAAGAAGGCUGCAGCUGAUGAGAGACUUCCUGUUAGCUCUCCUCAAUAUGAAAUGAACAAAAACAAUCAAUUGAACUUAAAGCUUUUCUUGAGAAGAAAGAUGUGUUGCACAUACUCCUGCUGCUACCUACCACCACCUCCCACCCAUCCCGGCACCAGAGAGGAGACUCCAUCGACCCCAGAUACCCCAACUCACUCUUCUUCAGGUUAGCUCCGAGCCCCGCCUUUACCUGCCCCAACUCUGCCCCCCAUCUCACUUUGAACGAUGUAGUCAUCCGGAUAUCUGCAUACUGAGAGUGGGACGCAGGACCCGGUCAAUGAGCUGCUGGAAGGGGGUCCACUGGACUGGAGGGGCGCUUGGAUCUGGUGAUGCCUUGCUCUUCCUGAAAGGGGAGGACACCUAUCUGCCAUAGUUCUUCCACCUGACGACUGAGUUCGGCAUCGGGGGUUC